ensembl:lncRNA
CCCCAGCCCAGAUUAACAGAACAGUAUAAGGUAGAACCAGCCCCAGCCCAGACUAAAUGAUGAGUAUGACGUAGAACCAGCUCCAGCCCAGACUAACAGAACAGUAUGAGGUAGAACCAGCCCCAGCCCAGAAGAAAUGAACAGGAAGAAGUAGAACCAGCCCCAGCGCAGACUAACAGAACAGUACUAGGUAGAACCAGCCCCAGCCCAGACUAACAGAACAGUAUGACAUAGAACCAGCCUCAGCCCAGACUAACAGAACAGCAUGAGGUAGAACCAGUCCCAGCCCAGAAUAACAGAACAGCAUGAUGUAGAACCAGCCCCAGCCCAGACUAAGAGAACAGUAUGAGGUAGAACCAGCCCAGACUAACAGAACAGCAUGAGGUAGAAUCAGCCAAGACUAAAAUAACAGUAUGUGGUAGUACCAACCCAGACCCAGACUAACAGAACAGCAUGAGGUAGACCCAGCCCCAGCCCAGACUAACAGAACAGUAUGAGGUAGAACCACCCCCAGUGCAGACUAACAGAACAGUAUGUGGUAGUACCAAACCCAGCCCAGACUAACAGAACAGUAUGUGGUAGUACCAGCCCCAGCCCAGACUAACAGAACAGCAUGAGGUAGAACCAGCCCCAGCCCAGAAUAACAGAACAGCAUGAUGUAGAACCAGCCCCAGCCCAGACUAAAAGAACAGUAUGAGGUAGAACCACCCCCAGCGCAGACUAACAGAACAGUAUGAGGGAGAAUCAGCCAAGACUAAAAUAACAGUAUGUGGUUGUACCAACCCAGACCCAGACUAACAGAAUAGCAUGAGGUAGACCCAGCCCCAGCCCAGACUAACAGAACAGUAUGACGUAGAACCCGCCCCAGCCCAGACUAACAGAACAGUAUGAGGUAGAACCACCCCAGCGCAGACUAACAGAACAGUAUGAGGGAGAACCAGCCACAGCCCAGACUAACAGAACAGUAUGAGG